AAUUCGAUUAGAGUUUGAUCCUGGCUCAGAUUGAACGCUGACGGCAUGCCUUACACAUGCAAGUCGAACGGUAACAGGUCUUCGGAUGCUGACGAGUGGCGAACGGGUGAGUAAUACAUCGGAACGUGCCCGAUCGUGGGGGAUAACGAAGCGAAAGCUUUGCUAAUACCGCAUAAGAUCUACGGAUGAGAGCAGGGGACCGCAAGGCCUUGCGCGAACGGAGCGGCCGAUGGCAGAUUAGGUAGUUGGUGGGAUAAAAGCUUACCAAGCCGACGAUCUGUAGCUGGUCUGAGAGGACGACCAGCCACACUGGGACUGAGACACGGCCCAGACUCCUACGGGAGGCAGCAGUGGGGAAUUUUGGACAAUGGGCGAAAGCCUGAUCCAGCCAUGCCGCGUGCAGGAUGAAGGCCUUCGGGUUGUAAACUGCUUUUGUACGGAACGAAAAGACUCUGGUUAAUACCUGGGGUCCAUGACGGUACCGUAAGAAUAAGCACCGGCUAACUACGUGCCAGCAGCCGCGGUAAUACGUAGGGUGCAAGCGUUAAUCGGGAUUACUGGGCGUAAAGCGUGCGCAGGCGGUUAUAUAAGACAGAUGUGAAAUCCCUGGGCUCAACCUGGGAACUGCAUUUGUGACUGUAUAGCUAGAGUACGGCAGAGGGGGAUGGAAUUCCGCGUGUAGCAGUGAAAUGCGUAGAUAUGCGGAGGAACACCGAUGGCGAAGGCAAUCCCCUGGGCC
rnacentral:rRNA from 1 species